rnacentral:rRNA from 1 species
UCUAAUGAGACUGCCGGUGACAAGCCGGAGGAAGUGGGGAUGACGUCAAGUCCUCAUGGCCCUUAUAGGUGGGGCUACACACGUCAUACAAUGGCUGGUACAAAGGGUUGCCAACCCGCGAGGGGGAGCUAAUCCCAUAAAGCCAGUCGUAGUCCGGAUCGUAGUCUGCAACUCGACUACGUGAAGUCGGAAUCGCUAGUAAUCGCGGAUCAGAAUGUCACGGCGAAUACGUUCCCGGGUCUU